rnacentral:rRNA from 1 species
UACGUAGAGUGCGAGCGUUAAUCGGAAUUACUGGGCGUAAAGUGUGCGCAGGCGGCCGCGCAAGUCGAGUGUGAAAGCCCCGGGCUUAACUUGGGAAUUGCGCUCGAAACUACGUGGCUGGAGUGUGGCAGAGGAAGGUGGAAUUCCAGGUGUAGCGGUGAAAUGCGUAGAGGUCUGGAGGAACACCGAUGGCGAAGGCAGCCUUCUGGGCCAACACUGACGCUCAUGCACGAAAGCGUGGGGAGCAAACAGG